GCUUGGCUGGCUCAGUUGGUAGAACAUGUGACUGUUGAUCUUGGGAUUGUGAGUUCAAGCCCCAUGUUGGGCA
rnacentral:tRNA from 1 species